rnacentral:rRNA from 1 species
GCCGCGGUAAUACGUAGGGGGCAAGCGUUGUCCGGAAUCACUGGGCGUAAAGCGCGCGCAGGCGGCCAUUUGCGUCCGGGGUGAAAUCCUGGAGCUCAACUCCAGAACUGCCUUUGAUACUGGAGAGCUUGAGUUCGGGAGAGGUGAGUGGAACUGCGAGUGUAGAGGUGAAAUUCGUAGAUAUUCGCAAGAACACCAGUGGCGAAGGCGGCUCACUGGCCCGAUACUGACGCUGAGGUGCGAAAGCGUGGGGAGCAAACAG